rnacentral:rRNA from 1 species
AUACGGAGGGUGCAAGCGUUACUCGGAAUCACUGGGCGUAAAGCGCGCGCAGGCGGGCUGAUAAGUUGGAUGUGAAAGCCUACGGCUCAACCGUAGAACUGCAUCCAAAACUGUCAGUCUAGAGUGUGGGAGAGGAAGAUGGAAUUAGUUGUGUAGGGGUAAAAUCCGUAGAGAUAACUAGGAAUACCAAAAGCGAAGGCAAUCUUCUGGAACACUACUGACGCUGAGGCGCGAAGGCGUGGGGAGCAAACAGGAUUGGAAACCCUAGUAGUCC